CACUUUGGACCGGAGUGGGAAAGCUCCAGAAUUCAGCCUCUUAUUAAGUAUGACUAAGGAUUUAUACACAGUGAAAUAACUUCACCAGGAGAGACUGAUGAAGCCCCACAUCAGGCUAUCCCAUAGCUCGGCAGUUAGAGCGUGUACCUGACAGGAUUUGAAUUGAGGUCUCACACCUUCCCCCCCGCCACAUCUGAGGGGAAAAGAGAACUGGGGUCUUCCACAUCCCAGCUGGAUGCUCAGUUGAAAGAUUUCAUCUCUAGAAAAAAAGAAGUUCAUCCCAAUGGGCCACUGGAGAGGACUUUUGGAUGAAAGUAUGCACAUGCGAUUCCUCCAGAGCGUCCAAUCAGAGGGAGGAGAAGAAGACCUGCCUAGCUCUACAGGGAAGCCAGGAGGUAUGCCCCCAAACUUUGCAUACCCCCAUACCUUCUUCUUGAAGGACAUUUGCCUUUGGACUGGCUCCAGUCUCCCCUUUCCCAGAUCCCUGGUGCUGCAUCUUCUGGAUCUCCUCCUCUCUCACACACACACACACACACACACACACACACAGCUGUUCAGCCAUAGCUGACCCCAGGACGACUGGUGAAGUCUAUUCUGCAGAGCUAAGCUUGAGGGCAUAUCACCUUUUCUAGGUAAGAUCCAGAGGGAUG